UACGAAGGGGGCUAGCGUUGCUCGGAAUCACUGGGCGUAAAGGGCGCGUAGGCGGCCGGCCAGGUCGGGGGUGAAAGCCUGUGGCUCAACCACAGAAUGGCCCUCGAUACUGGCUGGCUCGAGACCGGAAGAGGUAAGUGGAACUGCGAGUGUAGAGGUGAAAUUCGUAGAUAUUCGCAAGAACACCAGUGGCGAAGGCGGCUUACUGGUCCGGUUCUGACGCUGAGGCGCGAAAGCGUGGGGAGCAAACAGG
rnacentral:rRNA from 1 species